GCUUUAUAAAAGAAUAAAUUUUAUAAAUAUAUUUAGAAUAAUUAAAAUUUUAAUUUUAUUUUAUUUAGUUGGGGUGAUUUUAAGAUUUAUUUAACUCUUUUAUUAUAUUUUCAUUUAUAAUUGUUUAUUUUGAUCCUAUUAUUUAGAUUAAAAGUUUAAGU
rnacentral:rRNA from 1 species